AACGCGAAGAACCUUACCUGGGCUUGAACCGCUACGGACCAAGGGUAGAAAUAUCCUCUUCCCGCAAGGGACCGUAGUAGAGGUGCUGCAUGGCUGUCGUCAGCUCGUGUCGUGAGAUGUUGGGUUAAGUCCCGCAACGAGCGCAACCCUUAUCCCUAGUUGCCAUCGGGUCAAGCCGGGCACUCUAGUGAAACCGCCUGGGAUAACCAGGAGGAAGGUGGGGAUGACGUCAAGUCCUCAUGGCCUUUAUGUCCAGGGCUACACACGUGCUACAAUGGUCGGUACAAACCGUCGCAAACCCGCGAGGGGGAGCUAAUCGGAAAAAGCCGGCCUCAGUUCGGAUUGGAGUCUGCAACCCGACUCCAUGAAGCUGGAAUCGCUAGUAAUCGCGGAUCAGAACGCCGCGGUGAAUACGUUCCCGGGCCUUGUACACACCGCUCGCGA
rnacentral:rRNA from 1 species